rnacentral:rRNA from 1 species
CCUACGGGUGGCUGCAGUCGAGAAUUUUUCACAAUGGGCGAAAGCCUGAUGGAGCGACGCCGCGUGGGGGAUGAAGGGCUUCGGCUCGUAAACCCCUGUCAUUUGCGAACAAAGGCGCCAACCUAACACGUUGUCGUCUGAUAGUAGCAGAAGAGGAAGGGACGGCUAACUCUGUGCCAGCAGCCGCGGUAAUACAGAGGUCCCAAGCGUUGGUCGGAUUCACUGGGCGUAAAGGGUGAGUAGGUGGUGGGAAAUCUCCGGGCUCAACCCGGGGCGUGCGCCCGAAACUGGCCUGCUAGAGGAUGGGAGGGGAGACUGGAAUUCUCGGUGUAGCAGUGAAAUGCGUAGAUAUCGAGAGGAACACCGGUGGCGAAGGCGAGUCUCUGGACCAUUCCUGACACUGAAGCACGAAAGCCGGGGGAGCAAACAGGAUUAGAUACCCCGGUAGUC